rnacentral:sRNA from 1 species
GCCAGAUGUGGUGGCACACACCUGUAAUCCCAGUGAUUUAGGAGGCUGAGACAGGAGGAUUUCAAGUUCAAGGACAGCUUCAGCAACUUAGUGAGGCCCUAGCAACUUAGCAAGACUCUGUCUCAA